rnacentral:rRNA from 1 species
CCUACGGGGUGCAGCAGUGGGGAAUAUUGCACAAUGGGGGAAACCCUGAUGCAGCGACGCCGCGUGAGUGAAGACGUAUUUCGGUAUGUAAAGCCCUAUCAGCAGGGAAGAAAAUGACGGUACCUGUUUAAGAAGCCCCGGCUAACUACGUGCCAGCAGCCGCGGUAAUACGUAGGGGGCAAGCGUUAUCCGGAUUUACUGGGUGUAAAGGGAGCGUAGACGGCAGCACAAGUCUGGAGUGAAAUGCCGGGGCUUAACCCCGGAACUGCUUUGGAAACUGUGCAUCUAGAGUGCAGGAGAGGUAAGUGGAAUUCGUGGUGUAGCGGUGAAAUGCGUAGAUAUUAGGAGGAACACCAGUGGCGAAGGCGGCUUACUGGACUGUAACUGACGUUGAGGCUCGAAAGCGUGGGGAGCAAACAGGAUUAGAUACCCCAGUAGUC